AGGCUCUUGUAGUUAAUUAAGGAACAUUAGAAGAACUCCGGAUACCAUUAAAUUAUGAAAUUAUCGAGCAUUGGUUGUAUUAGUCCUCAUUUUCCCCGGAAAGUAGCUGUGCCCAUGAUUCUAAAGAAAGCAUGAAAGUGCCUUUUUUCCGUUGGGAACGAAACUGUUAAAUUUUCAUCCUGGAUGCUCUUGUAGUUAAUUAAGGGAUGUAAGAAGAACUCCAGAUGCCAUUUAAUUGUGGAGCAUUGAUUGUGUCGGUUCUCAUUGACUCCACAAAGUGACUGUUUCUAUGGUCAUAAAGAAAGCAUGAAAGUGCUUUUCCAUUGGGAACGGAGACAAUGUGCUGAAGAAGUGUGCUGCUGAAGAAGGGAUUUAUGACAAUAAACUGAUUGUCCCACAAAUGACGAGGGAUUGCAGUUAAUUUUGAUGUUACUGAAGCAACCGAUGCCUUUGAUGUCUUCACAUUGCAACUUUGUGCAGUUAACUUUUGCCGUAACAACAGAAGCAGUUGGAAAUUAAUUAAUUUGGAAGAGACUGGAACAACAGAUUGUUUGCAGUGAUCCCUCCUAGAUUUGGUUUGCUCAUCACACUGGUAGACUUUAGAACGCCACUUUCUACAAUUAAGGUUAUACAAUAAAUGAGAGAGA
rnacentral:lncRNA from 1 species